UACGUAGGUGGCAAGCGUUGUUCGGAAUUAUUGGGCGUAAAGCGUGCGCAGGCGGUUUGCUAAGACAGGUGUGAAAUCCCCGGGCUUAACCUGGGAACUGCGCUUGUAACUGGCAAGCUGGAGUGUGGCAGAGGGGGGUGGAAUUCCACGUGUAGCAGUGAAAUGCGUAGAGAUGUGGAGGAACACCGAUGGCGAAGGCAGCCCCCUGGGCUAACACUGACGCUCAUGCACGAAAGCGUGGGGAGCAAACAGG
rnacentral:rRNA from 1 species